GCGGUUAGGGCGUUGGGAUUUGACUGUCACAGGGACCAACUAAUAAGAGGUUAUAAUUAAUUGGAAUUGUUGUGAUUGUAUGUUUGUCUGUACAGUUAUGGCUGUCCUGUUAUUAUUUUGUGUCUUGAUCAAUAAUGAGUAGCUAAACCAUAUCGACUUUUGGACACUGAUGCGCAGGAGAACCCCUAGCUGUCAAUCAAGCAGGCGCGGUGAACGGAUUAUGACGCUCGAGCGUUCCAAAUGACGCAACAAUACAGUUCCAGAACAGAGAAAGUUAAUGCCGAAGAUGUUGUUCGGUUCCACACUAAAACUGCUGUUUGACAAGUGUGAUUUGAGAAAUAAAACUUGUAGACCUUUCCUGCAGUCUCUGAGGAGAUGGACACCUCUUCUUCUUCUGGACGAUCUCCGUCUCCUACUGGGACUGUCUUCUUACCCCCUCCUAUCAUGUGGAACAGUCUAUACAAGCAGGCAGAGAUGGAGGUUCAGUUCCUGAGGGAAGAGAAGAAGACCUGUACAGAGAAGGAAGCCCACAUGCUUGAGUUGAGGGGGAAGGAUCGAACGAUCCGAAAUCAGAAGAAGGAGAUGGACAGACUUCAAGUGUGCCUCUGGGAGGAGGAAAAGAAGAAGAGGAAUGGUGGAACGGAGAAG